CGAAAAUGUGGGUCCUGGACUGCAUAAUAAUGAAGAUGAAAAGUCCUCGUCUGUAUGAGCAUCUUCGCCGUAAUAGCAUUCUUUCCCUACCGUGCAAAUCAACCCUCAAGCGCUAUGUAUCUGCAUAUCGCACUGUGUUUGGCUUCAGCGACAAAGUUCUGAGGCAGCUAAAAGUGAAGUCAGCUGAGCUUGAUGCCUGGAAAAAACAUGGUGGAUUAGUUAUAGACGAGCUAAAGCUGUCGGAACACUUUGCAGUUAAAACGUCUGGGGUUAUUGAGGGUUUUGUAGACCUAGGCCCUUUCACAGCAGCCAAAGACAAAGGUGUCCCAUGUGACCAUGGCAUGGUUAUACUAUUUGUUCCCUUUCAGGGAAAAUGGAGCCAGGUAAUUGGCUAUUUUGCCACACAUGGCAACAUGAAGGGGGACAUUCUUGCCAAAGUUGUUAUUGAGGCAACCGUAUUGGCCGAAAAGAGUGGCCUUUUUGUUGAUUUCAUUACAUGCGACGGCGCAAGCUGGAAUAGAAGGAUGUGGAGGAUACUUGGGAUACAAGCAUCAGCUGAGUCUACCACCUGCAAAAUUCAGCACCCCAGCGAUGCAUCACGAAACCUCUUUUUUAUAUCCGACUUCCCUCAUCUUAUCAAAUGUCUACGCAACUCAUUGUUGAAAUCUGGAUUCAACACUCCAGCUGGCCAUGUGGAUAUGCAACACGUAAAGGAAGCCUACAAAAUGGAUUCCUGCAAUGUUACCCUCAAGGUUAUGCCAGGGAUAACACGAUGUCAUAUUGAGCCAAACGCAUUUGAAAAGAUGAGAGUCAGUUAUGCGUUCCAGCUUUUCGGCACUAAAGUGCUCCAAGCUUUUCACCUGUAUAAGGACACGUUAGAAGCCACUCUUGGAAGAAUGGAUGCAACUCAGGAAUUCUUCAGCAAAAUCCACCAGCUGAUAUCUGUGAUGACCUCACGGUUCCCUGCGGAAGCCCUCCGGCCAGCUUCUCGAGCAACAGCUGUGCUGCAGGAUUUUUUAUCCUAUCUUAAAGCAUGGGAGGAGCAUGUAAAAGGGACAGGUGGCUUUGUGAGUGAGUCCACGGCAACAGGUCUGCGUGUAACCAUUUCAAGCACAUUAGGCUUGCUAGAUUACCUUACAAGAAAAGUAGGUUUUAAGUACCUAAUGACCUCCAAAACUAGUCAAGACCCUCUUGAAAACCUUUUUGGGAUCGUUCGACAGUCUUCUGGCAGUAAUGACCACCCAACACCAAGUCAAUUUCUAGUUAUCAUUAACUGCUUGUCAUUUUAUGGGCUAGUAAAAUGUGCCAGUCAAGGUAACUGUCAGCAGGACGAACUGGGCUCCCUCCUGGAAGUUGACAGCCUGCCAGACACUGCGCAGAAUGCAGCAGACUUUCAUCUGCCAAUGAGUGCUGCUAAGAGCAUGCACACAGCUCCAUCCUCCCAAGACCAUAACCAGCACAUUGCCAGCAGUGACUCAAGAAUAAUUUUUCACAUCGCUGGCUAUGUUGCAAGAAAAUGCGUUUUAAAAACCAAUUGCCAAGACUGUCUGACCCUUCUCACUAUGCCUGCCCCAGAUGAAACUUUCCAGCUUGCGAGGCUGACAAAGUUUCGUGACAAUGGAGGGCUCCUCUAUCCAACUGGUCGCUUAUUUGGUUUCAUAAAGAAGCUUGAGGACUUGUUCACAGGCUGCUUCUCCCAUGGACAGCUGCACUCUGACAGCAUUUUAGAUGUGCUGACAGUUGUCAAAGCCAGACUUGGCCAAGAGGUUGGUUGUUCCAGUCAUGCUUCCACCCUUUCUCCAAAAAUAAUCAAAUUCUAUGUCACUACACGACUUCACUUCUAUGUUAAAGGUAUAAAUACUGACAAGUCGGGGAAGCGCCAAAAGGCAAAGCACUUGAAGUUGAGCCGCUGCUCUUGAAAUGUGCAUGCUGUCUGCAUUGUCUACUUGUUGCAUUGUGCUUGUCAAGAUAAUAAACUUUUGUUAAAGUUGUUCAACCAACAUUUUGUUUGCAUUUUUUUUCUCUUUUUCUUUCAUAAAAUAUUUCCUUAAAAAUAAGUGUGGCUAUACCAACAUCACUCUCUGGAAAGGCAGAUAUAGGAAAUUAUGCAGUAUGUUAGUGUCGGGAGAAUUAAAUGCGUUUUAUGUUGGAAUAAUGUAGAGCAACGACUGAUGUAUAGGCGCAUGUUUUCUGGCACAUAUGUGACAAGCUACAGCAUGGAAGGUGUUUUAAACGGUUUACCUUUUGUUUCAACAUUCAUGUGCGAUUAAAACUUCAUAUCUAUGCUGCUUAACAUUUCAUUGAUAUACCUCUAUUUUUCUUCCACAAUAUGCUCAGCCAGAGUCAAAUAGGUGGGUAUACAGGAAAGGCAUCGUUCCAAAGGUGCCUGAAUUGCUGUAAGGACUGCAAAUAGGGUAACGCCGAAAACCAAUUUCUGCACGCGCGCAACUCGAUAACACCGCGACAUAUGGAUCACUUACGUUCUAAUCAAAGACAGCAGUAAAUCUGCUGUCUUUGACAAGAAUGUAAGUGAUUCAUUUGUUAUGUCACGCUAUUAUUGAGUAAAUAUACCCAGACUUGCUGUCAAUGGAGAGGAACCCCACAGCCUUUUACUCGGCGCAAGACGCGAGUUUUCGAUACGAGUGCAAGCUCAGCAAAGCCAGCGUUACAAAAAUGGUGAUUAAAGAAACUUUUCCCUCAUGAAAAGAAAGACGAAGUACUACUGACAAACAAGCAUACUGUCCAAGCUCUUUAUUUAUAUGAGAAACGAGCAUUCAAGAAAUUAGACCGUUUCUACAGCGGCGACCACGUACCUUUCGCACGGC